UACGUAGGUGACAAGCGUUGUCCGGAUUUACUGGGCGUAAAGCGCGCGCAGGCGGUCGCGUAUGUGCCGUGUGAAAGCGCCGGGCUACUCCCGGCGAGGUCAUGGUAGACAGCGCGACUUGAGCCUCGGAGAGGUCGGUGGAAUUCCGGGUGGAGCGGUGAAAUGCGUAGAGAUCCGGAGGAACACCAGGGCGGAAGGCG
rnacentral:rRNA from 1 species